rnacentral:lncRNA from 1 species
GUGGUGGCUGAGGCUCAGUCACGGCCUCGAGCACAGGGAAAGACAAAGUCUUGCGUACGGCGACCCUGGUCUUGAAGGGCAGAAAUGGGCCGCACAGAGGAGACUACGCCCUGGCCAGAGCGCGGGUGUCCCGGGCUGGGAGGGGACAGGGGCACCGCCCCUCAGGGAAAGACCUCGAAGACUGUGCAUGGGAGGCCGGGCCGGCCGGAGACCCCUGCUCUCGGUGCCCUGCUCAGGUUGCUGGCCAGAAAACUCCAAGGUGACGUUUCAUGGAAGGAAGAGAAAUCACCGCCGCCCGAUUGUUUGAGAGCAGAGGCUGGCGCGGGGCAAGAGGGACGGGCUGCGCGGUCAGGAGCCAGCGUCUGCAGGCUUUGACGCAAGUCUUCUCCAGGCCAGCGUCACCCUGCAGCCGGCUGGGAAAGGCUCCGCAUGGCCCACGUUUCCUGGUUCCUGCAGACCGCAGCGGUGGGACGGGGCCCACUCCGACCGGGCUGCUCGCGCUUAGAUCCGGACCGAGAAGCAGGAAGCGGAUCGGCCUGAGGGAAGACCGCAACGUGGGGAAAGGGCACUUCCUAGGAGGAGGUGUUCCCUGACGAGGAAACAGAACGAGCCGGCCCCUCCGGGCCUUCAGGGAGCAUCGGGACCAGGGAGCGCCACCGUGGAGAACCUCUGCGCAAUGGACUGCAGUUCAUGCUUUCCAAGCGAGCUACCCCUCACGCUUCCGAAUUGGAACACAUCGGUCCUCCUUACGGAGCCUAAAUUAAAGCUCUCACAAGAUGAUAGCCGUGCUCUCCCAGUGCCGUGCACGCCGUGUCCUGCAGUCCAACCCACGUGCAGCCAGCCAACAGCAUCUGGAGCUCAGGGCAACCAAGCAGAAAUUGUUCCAAGCCUCCCCUCUGCCACUGCUGUCCGGGUCAUCGGCUGGAAGUGAAGUCACACUGCCUGCCCAGUCUUCCUUCACUGAAGAGGCCUGCCGGCCCCUCACCCUGUGGAUCCCUUUCUGCCUCACCGGAGUUCUGUUCGCCCAAGGACAUGAAUUUCUAGUUUACCCGACCAGAGGUGAAACACCCUUUCUUCCGGGCACUCGGCAGGUCUACGUCGGCCACACCGGCCCUGUGGGACCACAGAUGCCGCAGGACCCUAGAGAACCAGCUCCCCGAAUCCAGCCCGAUAUCCCAGGGACAGAUCCAGUGCACCCUACGUUGCAGAGACACUGCCCACAUUGCAGGAAGCACCAAGUCCUGGCUUAAGUUUUCCUGCUGAGAGAGCUCUGCAGCCUCUGUGGGGCCUUCCUCAGUCAUCAGUCCUUGAAGCACUAUUCUUUCCUGAGAGCAGGCUAUUCGCUGACCUUCUGUCAGGAAACAGCUUGAUUGUGGGCGUCUGCAAACAGAGAGACAAGGCUACGUGACCACCCCUCACGACCUCCUUUCCCCUCAUUCCUGCUGCCCCCAGAUGGCUCUGAGAUAAUACCACUGCUUUCCUGCAAAAAAAAAAAAAAAAAAAAAAAA